GCCCCUAUGGCUCAGUGGCAGAGCGUUCGCCUAGUAAGCAUGCUUACCGGUAGCGAAAGGUCCAUAGUUCGAUCCUGUGUGGGGGCA
rnacentral:tRNA from 2 species